CCGAGUGUGAACCCCCCCAUAAAAAGGGGGGUUACCUCCCGUCCUUUGCUGGGCACCCCUUUCCAUUGGAUGGGGGUUGUUUUCAGACCCUUUUGCUUCGGUGGGGUAACUCACCGGAACAACCUCAAAAUAUUCUCAGUCAAAACCGUUCGGUCCGAGGAUUUUUUUGAAAAGCGAAA
rnacentral:misc_RNA from 1 species